ACGAUCCGACGGCCUGGAUAGAAGCCCUAGCCGGAGCUCGAUACCUGUUUGAUGAUGGGCGAGAUGACAGCCAUUCUCCUCUCGGCUGCUGGCAGUCGGCGCCCCAUUCGAGCAUCAUCCGGUGAGAUCUCUCUGCUCGUCCUUCUGAUCCCUUGGUUCCAGGAUGUCGUGUCUUUUGGUAUUCCAGGAUCAAACAUGACCAUUCUUCUCAUGUUGUCUACUGCAUCAUUCUUGUGCUGGUCAUUCCCAUCCCAACUAUUGUGGCUAAUGUUGGUGAUAGUCUUGAAACUCUCCAUAGUUGCAUUAUUUGCAUUCUGUGAUAGUUUUUAUAUCGAAGUGUGAGGACAAAGCAAGCUCUUUUUUCUUUUUAAAAUUUAGUAUACUUUUGAACCUUCAUGCUUAUCUCAGGAAGCUUUGCCUCUGCUUUCAGCUGCAAGGUAUUUUGACUGACUUUUGCUUUGUGGCUUUGUCCUGGAGGCAUAUAUUGAAGAUUUCAGGGGGAUAUCAUGUCCUGAGUUAUCUUCUGGUUGACUUAGGAUAUCAUACUACCUUACAUAUUCAAAUAAAUAUGAUUGCAUAAUAUCAUUUUGUUUUUUGAUAUGGUGUGGGUCUGGAAUAGUAUGGAUUAUAUCAGACACAGAUCUGAUAAUGACUAGAUAUUGCUUAAGUUUGUUUUGAUUCGCAGCAGGUAGGUUUAUAGCACGUUUUUUAACCUGUUAUACAUGAGACCGAAGUAGGAGAUAUAAUAGAUAAGUACUUGUGUUGAUAGUUUGAUAGUAUAGACUCGUACAGACUUUAAAGGAUUUCUGUUUGGAUAGUAUAAAUAAUAUAGAUGUGUAUGAACUUGAAAGGAGUAUCUCGACCAUGCCAUGUAGACCUCUUGUUGUUUUCCAUGUUAUUUUUUAAACUAUAGCCUUAGAGGUGGUUAGACACAAAUAAAAAGAGGAAGAAGAAGAAGAAUACCUUGAGGGGUCAAACUAAAUACGACAAAGAACAGCUUUUUUGACCAAAUUGGAAGGGGAAACUAAGGCAAAAUUGCAUAUAUAUAUAUAUAUAUAUAUCAAUCAAACAUUAAAACUUUAGUAAUUCCACAUCAUUCAUUUGUUGUGUGUCAGUUUGUUUAUGUGAUUGACUCCCUCUGACUUUUGACUCCUCAUCUCAGUAGGGGUUUCCAUAUUUGAAAGACACCUUGUUUGUUCACAGUUAUGGAAGAUGACUGACUCAUCAUAUUGAACUGGAUUUUAGGAUGACUGCUAGGUAUCUUCACUACCAAAGGAGGGACACAUACCAGUUGAGCAACCACGGAUCUUGAUUCACAGCCAACCAUGGAAGAAACUAUCCUACUAGGUGAUGACCUUAUGCUGGGGCUUCCUUCACCUAUCAUCCCCCCUGAGAUCGCAUCUCAUGUUCUUGAAGGUGUUGACUUAUGUGAUGGAGUUUUAAGGAAUCUUUUCUUAUUAAAGUGAUGGCAGAUCAUCUCAUAUGACUCUAUAGUGGCGAGUGCUACGGGCCAUCUUGUCUCCAAAGAACUAUGAUUGCUAUCAAGUCGGUGAUCUUUAUUUUGGAAAUAAAAGGGAAAGUCAUUUAGUAAAUGCCUUCGGCUUGAAAUCAACAAUAUCGAGCCAUUUUGCCAAGAUGAGAUUGUCUUGUAUCAACAGUGUGCUGAGAAAAGGGAUAAGUAGUUAAGACAGAGGCUCUUACAUAGUGAGCAUAAGUUGGGGUUGUCCAUGCCCUUUACUGCAGCAAAGGAAAGAGCUGCUGAACUCCAAUUGGAGGUUACAUCUUUGGAAAGAAGAAGAUUGGAAGCUUUAAACUGGGGAAUUGUGAAAAGGAAACCUGGCAACAUCCAAGGAGAGCCUAAAGGAGAUGCAGUUAGGAAGAAAUGGAUUUUUUGGUAGAUUUGUUUGUGUUCUUGUGAUUUCUGGUAAGUAGGCCUCCAAGUGCAUGUUAGUCUGCUUUUUGACUUUCUAUAUACAAAACUCUUUAGAACUGUUGUCACUGUGCUUUUCAUUUUGAACUUGUAGAGCAAUGAUUUGCUUUGCCGUACUUUUUUUGACCCUUUUUAUUUUUGCUUGGAAUAUGUUCUAGUUGCAACUAAUUGAGGUAAUGUACCAAAAUAAAACCAAUAAUGGUUGAUGCUAGUUAUUGCUGCUUUUCUGA